CCCCCCUAAAUAUAUCCUAAAUAUAAAUUCUAAAUAAAUGAUUAUCUGAUAAUCAAACCCAGCACUAAUUGGACCUAUGGUAGUUUGCUUUGUGCUGUGUGAAGAAUGGGUCAUUCACGCUUUAAAGAAAAACUUAGCCUUAAUUGAAUACAAAAAUACUCAAUUCCAAAAUUAACAAGAAUAACUUUAUUUAAAUUUCACAACGACAGUAAUAAUGUUUCAUCAAUGAUUUAAUAAUGGGUGUAACCACCACGCUUCUCGGUCACCUCAAGGCAUCGUCUGCUCACCCGCCGUUGAGAUAUAGCCACCCAUUCCUCGUGCAACAAUUGAGCCAAGCAGCUAGAGUGCUGUAUUCAUCGAACCGAGACCGACAUCGACAUCGAACCGAUUGCUUUUGGUGGUCCCAAAAAACCUCAAUUGGGUUGAGAUCUCGCGAGUUUCCAUGAUCACAUCAUUCUCUUUCUGAGAAGAUGAUGCCUUGAAGUUAUCGAGAAGUGUGGUGGUUACACCCAUUAUUAAAUCAUUGAUGAAACAAUUUACUGCUGUUGUGAAAUUUA